ACAAAGUGCCUAGCUUAUUCAUAAUAAUCGAACCAACGCUGGCCCCAAUAAUCCGAAGCUGGACCAGGUUGAAUCAGCAGUUCAGCAACACUGAGACUGGCACCAAAGCAUGCUCCUUACUGAGCACCCAGAGAACUACUCAGCCUAGCAUACUGAGCUAGCACGGCAUCUCUACAGGAGUGGGAGCAGGACCAGUGCCGCUCCAGACAUCACUGGAACAGUACGGGAUGAAUCUGCAGGAAAGAGACAAUCACAAUAGUCACACUAACUCAAAGUCA